GACGAACGCUGGCGGCGUGCUUAACACAUGCAAGUCGAACGGAGCUAUUUAUUUCGGUAGAUAGCUUAGUGGCAAACGGGUGAGUAACGCGUAGGCAACCUACCCUCAGGAUGGGGACAACGGCUCGAAAGAGCCGCUAAUACCGAAUGACGUAUCUUUUUCACAUGGGAGAGACACUAAAGAUGGGUCAAACCAUCGCCUGAGGAUGGGCCUGCGUCUGAUUAGCCAGUUGGUGAGGUAACGGCUCACCAAAGCAACGAUCAGUAGCCGGUCUGAGAGGAUGAACGGCCACAAUGGGACUGAGACACGGCCCAUACUCCUACGGGAGGCAGCAGUGGGGAAUCUUCCGCAAUGGGCGCAAGCCUGACGGAGCAACGCCGCGUGAGUGAAGAAGGUCUUCGGAUCGUAAAGCUCUGUUGUCGGGGACGAAAGAGUAGACGAGGCAAUGCGUUUACUAAGACGGUACCCGACGAGGAAGCCC
rnacentral:rRNA from 1 species